AUCUUUCUAGUAUCAUAUAGUACAAAUGACUUCCAAUCAUUUAGUCUUGGUUAAACCCCAAGGAAAGAUA
rnacentral:tRNA from 1 species